rnacentral:rRNA from 1 species
GCAGCCACCAUUUAAAGAGUGCGUAAUAGCUCACUGGUCAAGUGAUUCUGCGCCGACAAUUUAGCGGGGCUCAAGCUAUCCGCCGAAGUUGUGGCAUUCCUUGUUAUGGGGGAUGGGUAGGGGAGCGUCGUGUGUGCGGUGAAGCUGCGGGGUGACCCAGUGGUGGAGUGCACACGAGUGAGAAUGCAGGCAUGAGUAGCGAAUGACGGGUGAGAAACCCGUCCGCCGAAUAACCAAGGGUUCCAGGGUCAAGCUAAUCUGCCCUGGGUAAGUCGGGACCUAAGGCGAGGCCGACAGGCGUAGUCGAUGGACAACGGGUUGAUAUUCCCGUACCGGCGUGUGCACGUCCGUGCCAAGUUGGGUGAUGCUAAGAAUGGAAGAUUGUUCCUUGCCUUCGGGUGGGGGAUGGUUGACUCUUCGAUCCGAACUCGAGGCGGCAAGCUGCGGAGGGACGCAGGAAGGUAGCUCAUCCCGGGCGAUGGUUGUCCCGGGCUAAGUGUGUAGGACGGGGUGUAGGCAAAUCCGCGCCCCAUGGGUCUGAGACAUGAUGGCUGGGUGGGAUACGUCCCAUCGAGUGGGUGAUCCUAUGCUGCCUAGAAAAUCUUCGUGAGCGAGUGUGCAAGCCGCCCGUACCCUAAACCGACUCAGGUGGUUAGGUAGAGAAUACCAAGGCGAUCGAGAUAAUCGUGGUGAAGGAACUCGGCAAAAUGCCCCCGUAACUUCGGAAUAAGGGGGACCUGAUCCGUGAAGCAGUUGCUGUGUAAGCGGUGAGGGUCGCAGAGACCACAGGAAAGCGACUGUUUAUUAAAAACACAGGUCCGUGCGAAGUUGUAAGACGAUGUAUACGGACUGACUCCUGCCCGGUGCUGGAAGGUUAAGGGGACGUGUUA